AUGCAGAUACCAGGGAGAAGAACUACCAUGACCUACUGGGGACACUCCACCAAAAAAAGGAAGAAAGCCUCAGAUGGGCAUGAGGACAACUUUCUCAACACACUGCAUGCUCAAUUCUCAAGGGUAAGGAGGGCACUACACAUGCUGGAAGCCCUCCCUAAGGGAAGGAUCAUGGAAAAGAGGUGGGCCCAUAAAGUCCUUGUAUCAAUGUUAAACAAUCUCUUUGACCUUCAGGUGCCCAUUUGGGUCUCUUCCAAUCAAAUUCUCUUUCUUCUGAGAAGACAAGAACUGAAGCUUCUGUAGACCUAUACGAAUACACUACUGGGAACUCAGGAUAAUUUGGAUACCUGGCACUGGUAACGAUAGGAUAAGGUGGGGAUACACAGUAGUGAUGAAGCUUAUCUUGUGUUGCAUAGCUGAUAUUAAUUUGGAGCAAGCACUUAUAAGGAUAUUUGUCUUUUUGAAAAUUAGAUGUGAAUUUAUGAAGCAAACACAAGGACAUUCAACUGCUUUCACAUUUUGUAGCAUAAUGGUUACCUUUACAGACCUAGAGUCAGCUUAUCUGGGUUCAAAUUCCAGUUCUUCUAUUUAAGAGUUGUGUAACUUUAGGCAAAUUGUCAAAGUACAAUGUGCCUUGGUUCCCUCCUUUUCAAUUGAAAAUAAUAGUACCUAGUUUGUUAAAUAACUCAUAAGAAUAAAUAAUAUUAUGCACAUAAAACAUACCUAAUGAUGUCCGACACAGCCACAGAUCGAUGCCAAAAAGGUUGUGGUUGUUGUCAUCAUGAUCAUCAUUCUUACAGUACUUUAGAAAGUCUAUUUUUCUGGCCACUGUAGAGAUUAAAGCAGAGACAACAGGCAUUUUUGUCUGUUUUCAGUUUAACAAAAUUUUAUUGUAAACUGUGUAUGUGCUAGGCACUGUUUGGCUUUGCAUCACAGAAAUAAAUGAUAGAGAGUCCCCAAGCUUUACAAAGCUUCAGAUUUUUUCUCCUUUCCUGUUGGAUUUUUCUGUUGCUCUCUUAUGCCUAUUUGCAUUUUAACAAAAAUGCAAAGCAACUCAUAAGUCAGUUCUGUCAUGAGGUAGUUCAACAGUCACCAGAAUAGCAAAAUAAAAUGGACAAAAUUGCUUAAAACUCCCCUUGACUUAGAGGCACAGACUUAGUAUCGUAUAAGUUCCUCUUUGGAAAUGUGUGCAAGUGACAGUAUCUAAAUAUAAUUUCUGGCCAUUUUUUUAAAGACAAAAUAUAUGGCAAAUGCUGUUUAUACCCUCUCCAUAACUUUUAAUUCUCCAUGUAAUUUGAUAAGCUCUUCCCACGGUUCAAAUUCAGAGAUUACAGUGAUUCACCUAAAAUCAUUUACAGCAGGGGCAGAGCCAGAGGUAGAAACCCUAUUUUCUGAUUCUGACACCCUUACGGUUCCCACAAUACUGUGCCUCCAUUGUCAUGGGCUUAUUCAUGUCUUUCCCAGUGUUUUCUCUCUUG
rnacentral:lncRNA from 1 species